AUUGAACGCUGGCGGUAUGCUUAACACAUGCAAGUCGAACGAUGAGAAAGAGCUUGCUCUUUCGAUUAGUGGCGGACGGGUGCGUAACGCGUAGGAAUCUACCUAUUAGUGGGGGACAACUCAGGGAAACUUAAGCUAAUACCGCAUACGCCCUACGGGGGAAAGAAGGGGAUCGCAAGACCUUUUGCUAAUAGAUGAGCCUGCGUAGGAUUAGCUAGUUGGUGGGGUAAAAGCUCACCAAGGCGACGAUCCUUAACUGGUUUGAGAGAAUGAUCAGUCACACUGGAACUGAGACACGGUCCAGACUCCUACGGGAGGCAGCAGUGGGGAAUAUUGGACAAUGGGCGAAAGCCUGAUCCAGCAAUACCGCGUGUGUGAAGAAGGCCUUAGGGUUGUAAAGCACUCUCAAUUGGAAGGAAAACCUCGAAGCUAAUACCUUCGAGUUUGACAUUACCUUUAGAAGAAGCACCGGCUAACUCCGUGCCAGCCGCCGCCGUAACAC
rnacentral:rRNA from 1 species